AUAAAAUGCACUGAUUAUAUGUGUAUAUAAAAUAGAUUGCAUUAGGUAUCAUGAGGAUUAGUGUGAUAGUGACCUUGUUGCUAAGUGCAAAAGCAAAACAAUGACAUAAAAACAAGUAGGCUAGGCACUCAGUGGAGGAGAGAGAUGGAGGCAGACGCUGCAGGAAAAAAAAGCUUGGUAAAAGGGGCCUUUGAUUCCACAGGCACAAAAAUCCACAGCCAGGAAUUUGCUGCCACCUCUGAGUCAGGCAGGGGGUGGGGGUGGGGAACACCAUUCCUUUAGAGAAUGCCCAGUGGAUUUAGUCUGAGUGUCACAUUUCUUAUUUGGAACAGUGUAGAUAGAAACAAACUCAGCUCACUUGUUUCCUGGGACAGUUGAGUUAGGGGAUGGCUUUCGCAGAGCACUCACCGCUGACCCCUCACCGUCGGGAUCUCUGUAGCCGCUCCAUCUGGCUAGCAAGAAAGAUUCGUUCAGACCUGACCGCUCUUAUGGAAUCUUAUGUGAAGCAUCAGGGCCUGAACGAGGACAUGGACCUGGAUUCCGUGGAUGGUGUGCCAAUGGCAAGCACUGAUCGGUGGAGUGAGCUGCCUGAGGCAGAGCGACUCCUAGAGAACCUCCAAGCUUAUCGUACCUUCCAUGGUAUGUUGAUCAGGCUUUUAGAUGACCAACGGGUGCAUUUUACUCCAGCUAACAGUGACUUCCAUCAAGCAAUACAUACCCUUCUACUCCAAGUUGCUGCCUUUGCUUACCAGCUGGAGGAAUUAAUGGCGCUCCUGGAACUCAAGAUCCCCCCCAGUGAGGCUGAUGAGAUGCCUGAAAUUGUUGGAGAUGGUGGUCUCUUUGAGAAGAAGCUGUGGGGCCUAAAGGUGCUGCAAGAGCUUUCCCAGUGGACAGUGAGGUCCAUCCAUGACCUUCGUGUCAUUUCUUCUCAUCAGACUGGGAUCUCAGCACAUGGAAGCCGCCAAAGCCUCCAAACUCUUCCGUCCUUUCAACAUAUAUGGUGUCAGUAUCAUGGCAUCUGGUGCUGCUGCUGGAUUCCAGCAAGGUACCUUCUUGAGCCUUUGGUACUCUGUCAGCUUCAUGACUGCCCCUGGAUUCCAGUGGUCUUCAGCUGGGUCUCUUAUCACAAAGAAGAAUUAACAAGGGGAAAAGUGUUUAUUAAGCCAUGCAGCGCACAUGAUGUGGGAGAAACCUGCACCAAAAGUCACUCAAGUGGCGGCUGUGAAUUCCAGCUUAUCUAGCAUCUUCCACGGGGCAGAACACAUUUUUGGAGAAAGGACAGGACACAGGGAAGCCGCCUCUGGGAAGACUUAAAUGAAAUUAUCUUGGCAAAGGGCAAAUUCUAAAUACUCAGUAGGUAUGAACCAUUCUUCUUCUUAAUAUUUGAGUCAUGUGACGUUUAGCAAGUCCUAUAAUCUUUCUGAGCUUCAGUUUCCUCAUCCACAGCAUGAGAGCUACAUCUUCUUCUUUGUGAAGAUGAAGUGAGAUGCUAUUGUAAAGGUAUCUGCAUGCAGAGGAAGUCUCUAUGAAUGGUACUGACCACAAGUCUGGAGAAGGCUGAGGAAUGUCACCAGUCUCUACUGUGCCCACACCAGACCAGCAGGGCCAGCCAUCUCAACCAUCGCGACAUUAUUUGGAUUUCAAUUGCCUCAUCCUCUCAGGACUCAGAGUUCGCCCCAAUGCCAUCUCAUCAGUAUCCUGAUAUAUUCCAGUUUGUAGCUAGAGUUGAAACCCCAGGAAGUAAAAUGACUCACUUAGAUCACCCAGGUCAGGAAGGUGGGUUCUUGUCCACACUGUGAGGCACCUAGGUCUAAGUGCCUUCAUAAUUAGCUCACUUGAUAGGGGUACAAGGGUAGAAUAAAAAUAUGAUUUUUAAAUUUCCUUUCUCUUUCCUUUCCCACCCUUUUACUAAGAAUGUGUAAUUGAUUAAUCAACAGUAUAUAUUUAACCUAUGUUCUGGCUAAGAUUUUGUUGCAGUUCUCAGUUGACAGGCAGGAGCAAAAAGAUUUUUAACACAGCCCUGAACUUACACAACUGGCUACCAGGAAUAUGGAGGCUGAUCGAUUAGGACUCAGAAACACCUGGAUGCUGCACACCUGAUCACCGCCUGACCAGUUUCAGAACACUGACCAUCCUGUUCCAGGCACCAAUAAUAAAGACAUUCAUCAAGCCCAAGACCCCCACAGGGACUCAAAUUCCAGGGCUGCAAACCACCAGAAACCCCCUUAUACUCCCUGCCUACAUUCCCUCCCCGCCCCCCUGCCCCCCUCCGAUUUCUCUGUUCUGCUUUCCCUCUCCCUCCUUUUAAAAAACACCUACCUAUGAGAGGGAAAGAUGGGUUUUUGAGGACAAAAAAAGUCCCCCAUCUCCCCAAUUGCUGGCAAUUGAAAUAAACUUCUUCCCUUCACCUCA